AUUGAACGCUGGCGGCAGGCUUAACACAUGCAAGUCGAGCGGUAACAGAGAUAGCUUGCUAUCUGCUGACGAGCGGCGGACGGGUGAGUAACGCGUAGGAAACUACCCGGUAGUGGGGGACAACCGUUGGAAACGACGGCUAAUACCGCAUACGCUCUACGGAGGAAAGGGGGCUUCGGCUCUCGCUAUCGGAUGUGCCUGCGUGAGAUUAGCUAGUUGGUGGGGUAAAAGCCUACCAAGGCGACGAUCUCUAGCUGGUCUGAGAGGAUGAUCAGCCACACUGGGACUGAGACACGGCCCAGACUCCUACGGGAGGCAGCAGUGGGGAAUAUUGGACAAUGGGCGCAAGCCUGAUCCAGCCAUGCCGCGUGUGUGAAGAAGGCUUUCGGGUUGUAAAGCACUUUCAUCAGUGAGGAAAGGGUAGUAGUUAAUACCUGCUAUCUGUGACGUUAACUGAAGAAGAAGCACCGGCUAACUCCGUGCC
rnacentral:rRNA from 1 species